rnacentral:rRNA from 1 species
AGGGCACCACCAGGAGUGGAGCCUGCGGCUUAAUUUGACUCAACACGGGAAAUCUCACCAGGCCCGGACACCGGAAGGAUUGACAGAUUGAGAGCUCUUUCUUGAUUCGGUGGGUGGUGGUGCAUGGCCGUUCUUAGUUGGUGGAGCGAUUUGUCUGGUUAAUUCCGAUAACGAACGAGACUCUGGCCUACUAACUAGACGUUGGAUCCCUUUGUGGGUCCAUCGCAGCUUCUUAGAGGGACGGGCGGCGUUUAGCCGCACGAGAUUGAGCAAUAACAGGUCUGUGAUGCCCUUAGAUGUUCUGGGCUGCACGCGCGCUACACUGAAGGAAUCAGCGUGUGUUCCCUAUCCGAAAGGAUUGGGAAACCCGUUGAACCUCCUUCGUGAUGGGGAUUGGGGAUUGCAAUUAUUCCCCAUGAACGAGGAAUUCCCAGUAGGCGCGGGUCAUAAGCUUGCGUCGAUUACGUCCCUGCCCUUUGUACACACCGCCCGUCGCUACUACCGAUCGAGUGAUUUAGU